rnacentral:tRNA from 1 species
CGAUAGCUCAGUUGGUAUAGCGGGGGACUGUAGAUUUAUAAUUGUGAUCCCUAAAUCGCUGGUCCGAAUCCGGCUCG